GGCUGUGGUGUCCCUAGUAACGGAAGGUUCAGCGGGUCAGUGAGGUGUCACAAAGGAAUGGAGAGGAGCUUGACAGUAAGGCUGGAAGGGGCAACAGGAAGAACUGGGGACUCUGGGGCAGCACCAAUAGACAGAGACCUAGGGGAUGAGGUGAGCCAACAUAUAAACUGUUAUAAAAAAAAAUGACAGCAUCUGGGGAGAAAGACUACUCACUGCUGUCCAUUGGUGUAUUUCAUCAUUCAGUCCGAGUGAACGAGUGAAACCAGGAGAAGAAAAGGGACACGCGCCGGGCCAGGUGUGGUUGUGCGCACCUGUAACACCAGCACUCAGGGGACUGAGGCAGAAUUGCUGCAAGUUCUUGGCUAGUCCAGGCUGCUUAAUGAAUUCUAGGCCAACCUGGGCUAUAGUGUGAUUCUGCAGUCUCAACUGCCAAAACAAAAUACAUCAAAAGGAAAUCUGUGACUCUUGGCACAUCUAGAAAUGUGCAUUUGGCUGUUGUCCCCAGUUUCUGGGGUGAGUCCCAUACCUUGGCGCUCCCUGGGUGAUGGGAGCCUCUUAUUCCAAUGCAGUGAGUCUUAGAGCUUGCUACCUGAAUGUCCAGGCCUUGGAUAGAGCCCAGUUCUUUCAGCCCUACCCCUCAGCUGUAGGGCAGUAGAAGAUGCAGGAGUCUGAGUUAAUAAAGCCAUAGUGACUAAGGCGAUCGAAUCUUUAUAACAAUCUCUAAAUGAAGCACUCAGAGUUUCGAGACUGAAGAGCGAAUUGAAGUGCUGAGAUAGAGGUCCAUCCAAAGAGAGUAGUGCAGCUGAGUAGGCCUGGCACCACACUCUGCCUCUUGCAUUUGCUGUUCCCGGGUUGUUGGAUCCUUUAUAUUGUCUGGUGAUCUCUCUGCAAUCAGCGCACUGGUAUGCUUGCUUCUAAGGGCAAAAAGUCAACCUUGUCGGACCGACCUGGAGCCUGGGCGCCCCCUGCUGGUGUUAUUUGGUUUAAUGCUGUAUCAACCGCUUCUUAAAAACAUCAAUCCAGGGACUGAUUUUUCUCUCUAGUGUUUCCUUUUCUUUUUCUUUUUUCUUUCUUUUUUUGUAAAGUAGACUACAAGUGAAAAAUAAGAAAGAAGACCCAUCAGUUCAGUGAUCAAUGAAGCCUGGUCUCUUUGGAAGAAACAACGCCGCUGCCUGGGCUGCCUUUCACCUGGUCCUAGCCCAGUCAGGAUCCUACAGCUGUCUCAAGUUGAAUAGGAACGGCAAAUAAUUGAUUAUGCAGUUACAAGUAUGUUACCGGACUUUUAUAACUAAGUUCUGGCCCCUAGAGUCCGGACAACAAACUAGAAUCAACGGCCUGUCUCACAUGCCGGAGGACUGUGAAGAGCAGAGAGAGGACAUUUAAUCAAAGUGGCCACACUGGAAAACAGAUGCCGCCCACAUCCAUCAUCAAAGGGCAAGCCGGAACUUUGUAAAUACGUUGCAUAUUAUGUGCUAUGCGUAUGAAAGAAGGUUUGGGGGUAUGCAUAGCUGCCCGAACAGCUCAGACCGUGCUCUCACUGUUCUCUCUCCUCUCCUUUGCAAGGGAUGUUGUAGAAGUCAUCGCUGAGGGGAGCAAUCUGAUCCCCUUUGAAAUGCUCAGCCCACUCCGCGGGGUAGCCUCACAGUCAAGGAUGGAUCUCUCCUUUAGGGGUUGAUGUCCUGCGGCGAUCUUCUCUGCCAGGUUCUGCGGUGCUUGGGUUAAUUCAGGUCCCUCGCGGUAAGAUGUCUUAGAAUCCUAGUUAAAUCGACGCACUGAGAAUUCAGUGUACCCUCUCUUUAGACACAAACGAAUUUAAAACAUUUUAAGCAGUU